AGCAACCCGCCGGGACUGGAGUUUCUCCGGGUUCCACAGAUCCGGAGAUGGGUAAGAACGCUGCCCCAAACUCCAGUUCCUAACCCAAGGCGAAAGAAACCUAGGAAAUGUGCUUCACUGACGUUUCCCUGCUUUUUACAGAAUGUUGCGCCCUGUGGCACUGCCUACAGAUCGCAAACGCGUAGACAGCCGUAACACGGUUGAGUUUCUGGGCAGCGUUUCUCCAUCUUGUGGGCGCACGGGCUCCAAGUCGCGACGCGCAAAUCCACUGCGUAAAGCCGAUGCUUCUCUAGUAUUUGCUUCUCUAGUUCCACUGUUUCCUUCAUUUUUCCGGGUCCCAGCAAAAUGCAUACUUUACUGAUGCGAAGACAUCCAUCCUCUCAAUCAUCUAACUUUUUGUCGGAAUCGAUUCGUCCUGAACAGAACAAAAAAGGCUGUCCAGGCUGUGCCGAAUCCCCUGGGCCCUGGCGGCCCUGCCGGCGGGGAUUCGGGUGGGGCUGAUGCGCCACCCACCCCGCAGCAGCUGCAAGCGUGGCGAGGGCAGCGAGCUGGAUGUCCCGCACUUCCAGCCCUCGGAAGUACUCACAAGCAGGGAGGAUUCUUCUGCCGCAACCCCAGAGACCCACGUUAGGUCGGGGACGGGACGGUCCUACAGUGCCCGGCUCGGGGCAUUGGUCGCCCUUAUGGGUUUAUGCACAGGUCCUCUUGCCCUUGGGGAAUCGCGUUUCCGCUGGGCCUGGGACUCCCCAGCCCCCGAGGGUGUAGGUAUCUUUUGUGGGAUACCUACCUCUACCGCCACCCGGUUCACACUUGCUGAUUUUUCUUUGGCCUGCAGUGCCAGCCCUCAAGCCUUGGCUCAUCGAAAGCUAUCGGAUUAUUAAAACACAGAAACCAACCCCGGCUCCUUUGUGAAAGCCUUGCUUCGUAGACUGUCACUGGGGUGAGUGUGCCGGGAGACCUGGCCUCCAGCUCCCGCCAAAGGCCAAACUGCCUGUGCUACCUUGAGCAAAGGUAAAUCCAGGCCCUGGCAAAUCCAGGUCAGGCAGUAGUUUUAGGUUAACUUCAGUCUGCUGCUGAGAACAAUUAACCAUUUUAAAGCGAGCAAUUCUGUGUCAUUUAGUGCAAUCACCAUGCUGUGCAAAUAUCACCUCCCUCUAGUUUCAAAACUUUUUAACCACCUCUGAAUACAUCCCCUACUGAUAUCGCUGGUUAUCGGUGAAGAGUCCUGCUUCAAAAUACCUUUAACGACAUAAGAAAAUAUCAAUAUAUUUCUGUUUACUUCUGUAGAAUACAUCUUAGGCAUGGAAUUGCUUGGUCAAAUAGUAUGAGACUUUUCAGACUUCUGAUAAAGAUUGCCAAAUCACUUCCCAGGAACAUACCAAAUUCUAUCAUAGCAUUCACUGAGUAUAUUAUCAGUUGAAAAAAAAUCAUUAUUAAUAUGAUGGGCAAAAGUAAGUGGCAUCUUAUUUUAUAUUUGUAUUUCUUGACUAAUGAAGAGGGACUGUUUUCAAGUCCUUGUUCUUUUUCAUUUAUUUUAUGAAUUAUAUCUUUUAUUCAUAUCUUCAUCAUGUUUAAUGCUUUUCCUACUGGUUUGUAGAAAUUUGUUUAAAACAUUAAAGAUGUGGUGGGGCGGGGGAGGCACACUCAUACACUGCUGGUGGGACUGCAAAUUGGUGCAGCCAAUUUGGAAAGCAGUAUGAAGAUUUCUUGGAAAAUUGGGAAUGGAACCACCAUUUGACCCAGCUAUCCCUCUCCUCCAUCUAUACCCAAAGGACUUAAAAACAGCAUACUACAGGGACAGAGCCACAUCAAUGUUUAUAGUAGCACAAUUCACAAUAGUUAAACUGUGGAACCAACCUAGAUGCCCUUCAAUAGAUGAAUGGAUAAAAAAAAAAUGUGGCUUAUAUACAUAAUGGAAUAUUACUCAGCAAUAAAAGAGAAUAAAAUUAUGGCAUUUGUAGGUAAAUGGAUGGAGUUAGAGAAGAUAAUGCUAAGUGAAGUUAGCCAAUCCCAAAAAACCAAAUGCCAAAUGUUUUCUUUGAUAUAAGGAGGAUGAUUCAUAGUGGGAUAGGGAGAGGAAGCAUGGGAGAAAUAGAUGAACCUAGAUAGGGCAGAGGGGUGGGAGGGGAAGGGAAGGGACAUGGGGUUAUUUAUGAUGGUGGAUUAUGAUGAUCAUUAUUAUCUAAAGUACAGGUAUGAAGGCAUGAAUUGAUAUAAAUAUACUAUGUAUACAACCAGAAAUAUGAAAAAUUGUGCUCUAUAUGUGUAAUAAGAAUUAUUACACAUAUGUAAUGC
rnacentral:lncRNA from 1 species